UCCAUUCUUGAGUUAACGGCAGUGAAUCAGGCUUGAAGCUCUUAACCACGCGUUUCACAGGGUUUCAUCAUCCAUUCUUGAGUUAACGGCAGUGAAUCAGGCUUGAAGCUGUUAACCACGCGUUUCACAGGGUUUCUUCAUCCAUUGAUAUUUUUCAUCAGUCAAUCAUGUCUGAAGGUCUUAACCACUCGAUAAACAGAUUAGGGUUUAUUCAAGUAUUGGCAGUCAAUCAACUUGGUGGGCUUCAUUUGAUUAGCACUUCAGUUCAUUCUUCUUUGGAAUUGCUCUAAUCAGAUAAGUCUAUUUAAUAUUGAUAAUUUUCCCUAAACCAACUCAAGCUGUUAAUAAACAUUUUAAAAUGUAAUUGAGGAAUUGUAACUUGGUACUUGAAUAUUCAUACUAAUUUUUUGUAUUGAUAAUUCAAAUUCAAUUGUUGACUUAAUAUGACUAAUAUUUUGGUUUUUAAUUUUUAGUUAUAUUAACAUUAUGGAUUAUGGAUUUGAAAAAGUAAUUAUUUAUAACAUAUCUGAAUCUUAAUAUCUGAAAUCUGAAUAUGAUUUGAUUUGAUAAUCCAAUAUUUUGUUGAAUGUUCCUUUUUGUUUGUGGAUGUUUGCCGUGAAUAAUUUCACCUUUGAUAUCUAGCCUUAGAUGAUAUUUUGUAGUUUAGCACUGGAGUACAUGUUUUUUUAAGUUCAGUUUUGGUUGAUCAUAGACUUUUGAUUUUCAACAACUGUUUUUUGUUGUAGGGCAUACAACUUACUUUCCUUCCAGUCAUCAGUUUGAUCAUUUGAUUGAUGCAUACCUGAUUCCGAAUUGUGAUUCAGUGGAAUUUGAAAUUGUCGAAAGGGCAUACAACCUACUUUCCUUCGAGUCAUCAGUUUGAUCAUUUGAUUGAUGCAUACCUGAAUCCCAAUUGUUAUUUAGUGGACUUUUAAAUUGACGAAAGGUACAUACAAUUUUAAGUUUCAUUUUCCUUUUUGUUGUUAAUUUACUCACAAAUAGAACAAUGCGUUUAUUACUAAUGAUUGUACAAUUUAAACCAAAAGUUUGUUGCUAUGAUUUCAUCUUGGUUAACCCUUAUGUCA